rnacentral:rRNA from 1 species
GACGUAGGGCGCGAGCGUUGUCCGGAUUUAUUGGGCGUAAAGAGCUCGUAGGCGGCUUGUCGCGUCGACUGUGAAAACCCGGGGCUCAACCCCGGGCCUGCAUUCGAUACGGGCAGACUAGAGUUCGGUAGGGGAGUCUGGAAUUCCUGGUGUAGCGGUGAAAUGCGCAGAUAUCGUAAGGAAGACCAGUGGCGAAGGCGGGUCUCUGGACAGUUCCUGACGCUGAGGCACGAAGGUCAGGGGAGCAAACGGG